rnacentral:lncRNA from 1 species
CUUUAUUUAUUUUUAUUAUUAUCUAUUAAUAUUAAAUUAGGAUUUUUAGUGUAUUGGACUUUUAGGCUCAAGUUUGUAUUUCCAUUCACCUCUAAUUUGUUAUAUUAACACCCUUUUUCUAUUUUCAUUUUAUUUUUAAAUUUUGAUUGAUUAAAUAUUAUCCUAGUUAGUUAAUUUUGCUAAUUAAAUUUUAUUAAUUUGAUUAAUCGAUUGAAUUAAUUUUUAAUUGAUUAUUCUUGAU